CCUACGGGCGGCAGCAGUGGGGAAUAUUGGACAAUGGGCGCAAGCCUGAUCCAGCCAUGCCGCGUGAGUGAUGAAGGCCUUAGGGUUGUAAAGCUCUUUUGUCCGGGACGAUAAUGACGGUACCGGAAGAAUAAGCCCCGGCUAACUUCGUGCCAGCAGCCGCGGUAAUACGAAGGGGGCUAGCGUUGCUCGGAAUCACUGGGCGUAAAGGGCGCGUAGGCGGCCAUUCAAGUCGGGGGUGAAAGCCUGUGGCUCAACCACAGAAUUGCCUUCGA
rnacentral:rRNA from 1 species